GUGCCAGCAGCCGCGGUAAUACGUAGGGUGCAAGCGUUAAUCGGAAUUACUGGGCGUAAAGCGUGCGCAGGCGGUUGUGUAAGUCAGAUGUGAAAUCCCCGGGCUCAACCUGGGAAUUGCAUUUGAGACUGCACGGCUAGAGUGUGUCAGAGGGGGGUAGAAUUCCACGUGUAGCAGUGAAAUGCGUAGAUAUGUGGAGGAAUACCGAUGGCGAAGGCAGCCCCCUGGGAUAACACUGACGCUCAUGCACGAAAGCGUGGGGAGCAAACAGG
rnacentral:rRNA from 1 species